CCUUGAUCAUGGCUCAGGACGAACGCUGGCGGCGUGCUUAACACACGCAAGUCGAACGAGAAGAGAUGAGAAGCUUGCUUCUUAUUGAUUCGAGUGGCAAACGGGUGAGUAACGCGUAAGCAACCUGCCCUCUAGAUGGGGACAACAGCUGGAAACGGCUGCUAAUACCGAAUACGUUCUUUCUGUCGCAUGGCAGAGGGAAGAAAGGGAGGCUCUUUGGAGCUUUCGCUGGAGGAGGGGCUUGCGUCUGAUUAGCUAGUUGGAGGGGUAACGGCCCACCAAGGCGACGAUCAGUAGCCGGUCUGAGAGGAUGAACGGCCACAUUGGGACUGAGACACGGCCCAGACUCCUACGGGAGGCAGCAGUGGGGAAUCUUCCGCAAUGGACGAAAGUCUGACGGAGCAACGCCGCGUGAACGAUGACGGCCUUCGGGUUGUAAAGUUCUGUUAUACGGGACGAAUGGUACGACGGUCAAUACCCGUCGUAAGUGACGGUACCGUAAGAGAAAGCCACGGCUAACUACGUGCCAGCAGCCGCGGUAAUACGUAGGUGGCAAGCGUUGUCCGGAAUUAUUGGGCGUAAAGGGCGCGCAGGCGGCGUCGUAAGUCGGUCUUAAAAGUGCGGGGCUUAACCACGUGAGGGGACCGAAACUGCGAUGCUAGAGUAUCGGAGAGGAAAGCGGAAUUCCUAGUGUAGCGGUGAAAUGCGUAGAUAUUAGGAGGAACACCAGUGGCGAAAGCGGCUUUCUGGACGACAACUGACGCUGAGGCGCGAAAGCCAGGGGAGCAAACGGGAUUAGAUACCUCGGUAGUCCUGGCCGUAAACGAUGGAUACUAGGUGUAGGAGGUAUCGACCCCUUCUGUGCCGGAGUUAACGCAAUAAGUAUCCCGCCUGGGGAGUACGGCCGCAAGGCUGCAACUCAAAGGAAUUGACGGA
rnacentral:rRNA from 1 species